AGCGUACACGGUGGAUGCCCUGGCAGUCAGAGGCGAUGAAGGACGUGCUAAUCUGCGAUAAGCGUCGGUAAGGUGAUAUGAACCGUUAUAACCGGCGAUUUCCGAAUGGGGAAACCCAGUGUGAUUCGUCACACUAUCAUUAACUGAAUCCAUAGGUUAAUGAGGCGAACCGGGGGAACUGAAACAUCUAAGUACCCCGAGGAAAAGAAAUCAACCGAGAUUCCCCCAGUAGCGGCGAGCGAACGGGGAGCAGCCCAGAGCCUGAAUCAGUGUGUGUGUUAGUGGAAGCGUCUGGAAAGGCGCGCGAUACAGGGUGACAGCCCCGUACACAAAAAUGCACAUGCUGUGAGCUCGAUGAGUAGGGCGGGACACGUGGUAUCCUGUCUGAAUAUGGGGGGACCAUCCUCCAAGGCUAAAUACUCCUGACUGACCGAUAGUGAACCAGUACCGUGAGGGAAAGGCGAAAAGAACCCCGGCGAGGGGAGUGAAAAAGAACCUGAAACCGUGUACGUACAAGCAGUGGGAGCACGCUUAGGCGUGUGACUGCGUACCUUUUGUAUAAUGGGUCAGCGACUUAUAUUCUGUAGCAAGGUUAACCGAAUAGGGGAGCCGAAGGGAAACCGAGUCUUAACUGGGCGUUAAGUUGCAGGGUAUAGACCCGAAACCCGGUGAUCUAGCCAUGGGCAGGUUGAAGGUUGGGUAACACUAACUGGAGGACCGAACCGACUAAUGUUGAAAAAUUAGCGGAUGACUUGUGGCUGGGGGUGAAAGGCCAAUCAAACCGGGAGAUAGCUGGUUCUCCCCGAAAGCUAUUUAGGUAGCGCCUCGUGAAUUCAUCUCCGGGGGUAGAGCACUGUUUCGGCAAGGGGGUCAUCCCGACUUACCAACCCGAUGCAAACUGCGAAUACCGGAGAAUGUUAUCACGGGAGACACACGGCGGGUGCUAACGUCCGUCGUGAAGAGGGAAACAACCCAGACCGCCAGCUAAGGUCCCAAAGUCAUGGUUAAGUGGGAAACGAUGUGGGAAGGCCCAGACAGCCAGGAUGUUGGCUUAGAAGCAGCCAUCAUUUAAAGAAAGCGUAAUAGCUCACUGGUCGAGUCGGCCUGCGCGGAAGAUGUAACGGGGCUAAACCAUGCACCGAAGCUGCGGCAGCGACGCUUAUGCGUUGUUGGGUAGGGGAGCGUUCUGUAAGCCUGUGAAGGUGUACUGUGAGGUAUGCUGGAGGUAUCAGAAGUGCGAAUGCUGACAUAAGUAACGAUAAAGCGGGUGAAAAGCCCGCUCGCCGGAAGACCAAGGGUUCCUGUCCAACGUUAAUCGGGGCAGGGUGAGUCGACCCCUAAGGCGAGGCCGAAAGGCGUAGUCGAUGGGAAACAGGUUAAUAUUCCUGUACUUGGUGUUACUGCGAAGGGGGGACGGAGAAGGCUAUGUUGGCCGGGCGACGGUUGUCCCGGUUUAAGCGUGUAGGCUGGUUUUCCAGGCAAAUCCGGAAAAUCAAGGCUGAGGCGUGAUGACGAGGCACUACGGUGCUGAAGCAACAAAUGCCCUGCUUCCAGGAAAAGCCUCUAAGCAUCAGGUAACAUCAAAUCGUACCCCAAACCGACACAGGUGGUCAGGUAGAGAAUACCAAGGCGCUUGAGAGAACUCGGGUGAAGGAACUAGGCAAAAUGGUGCCGUAACUUCGGGAGAAGGCACGCUGAUAUGUAGGUGAAGUCCCUCGCGGAUGGAGCUGAAAUCAGUCGAAGAUACCAGCUGGCUGCAACUGUUUAUUAAAAACACAGCACUGUGCAAACACGAAAGUGGACGUAUACGGUGUGACGCCUGCCCGGUGCCGGAAGGUUAAUUGAUGGGGUCAGCGCAAGCGAAGCUCUUGAUCGAAGCCCCGGUAAACGGCGGCCGUAACUAUAACGGUCCUAAGGUAGCGAAAUUCCUUGUCGGGUAAGUUCCGACCUGCACGAAUGGCGUAAUGAUGGCCAGGCUGUCUCCACCCGAGACUCAGUGAAAUUGAACUCGCUGUGAAGAUGCAGUGUACCCGCGGCAAGACGGAAAGACCCCGUGAACCUUUACUAUAGCUUGACACUGAACAUUGAGCCUUGAUGUGUAGGAUAGGUGGGAGGCUUUGAAGUGUGGACGCCAGUCUGCAUGGAGCCGACCUUGAAAUACCACCCUUUAAUGUUUGAUGUUCUAACGUUGACCCGUGAUCCGGGUUGCGGACAGUGUCUGGUGGGUAGUUUGACUGGGGCGGUCUCCUCCUAAAGAGUAACGGAGGAGCACGAAGGUUGGCUAAUCCUGGUCGGACAUCAGGAGGUUAGUGCAAUGGCAUAAGCCAGCUUGACUGCGAGCGUGACGGCGCGAGCAGGUGCGAAAGCAGGUCAUAGUGAUCCGGUGGUUCUGAAUGGAAGGGCCAUCGCUCAACGGAUAAAAGGUACUCCGGGGAUAACAGGCUGAUACCGCCCAAGAGUUCAUAUCGACGGCGGUGUUUGGCACCUCGAUGUCGGCUCAUCACAUCCUGGGGCUGAAGUAGGUCCCAAGGGUAUGGCUGUUCGCCAUUUAAAGUGGUACGCGAGCUGGGUUUAGAACGUCGUGAGACAGUUCGGUCCCUAUCUGCCGUGGGCGCUGGAGAACUGAGGGGGGCUGCUCCUAGUACGAGAGGACCGGAGUGGACGCAUCACUGGUGUUCGGGUUGUCAUGCCAAUGGCACUGCCCGGUAGCUAAAUGCGGAAGAGAUAAGUGCUGAAAGCAUCUAAGCACGAAACUUGCCCCGAGAUGAGUUCUCCCUGACUCCUUGA
rnacentral:rRNA from 1 species